GAUGAACGCUGGCGGCGUGCCUAAUACAUGCAAGUCGAGCGAACAGACGAGGAUCUUGCUCCUCUGACGUUAGCGGCGGACGGGUGAGUAACACGUGGAUAACCUACCUAUAAGACUGGGAUAACUUCGGGAAACCGGAGCUAAUACCGGAUAAUAUAUUGAACCGCAUGGUUCAAUAGUGAAAGACGGUUUUGCUGUCACUUAUCGAUGGAUCCGCGCCGCAUUAGCUAGUUGGUAAGGUAACGGCUUACCAAGGCAACGAUGCGUAGCCGACCUGAGCGGGUGAUCGGCCACACUGGAACUGAGACACGGUCCAGACUCCUAAGGGAGGCAGCAGUAGGGAAUCUUCCGCAAUGGGCGAAAGCCUGACGGAGCAACGCCGCGUGAGUGAUGAAGGUCUUCGGAUCGUAAAACUCUGUUAUUAGGGAAGAACAAAUGUGUAAGUAACUAUGCACGUCUUGACGGUACCUAAUCAGAAAGCCACGGCUAACUACGUG
rnacentral:rRNA from 1 species